rnacentral:rRNA from 1 species
GGGGACCCGCACAAGCGGUGGAUGAUGUGGAUUAAUUCGAUGCAACGCGAAAACCUUACCUACCCUUGACAUGUCCGGAAUCCUGGAGAGAUCUAGGGGUGCUCGCAAGAGAACCGGAACACAGGUGCUGCAUGGCUGUCGUCAGCUCGUGUCGUGAGAUGUUGGGUUAAGUCCCGCAACGAGCGCAACCCUUGUCAUUAGUUGCCACCAUUCAGUUGGGCACUCUAAUGAGACUGCCGGUGACAAACCGGAGGAAGGUGGGGAUGACGUCAAGUCCUCAUGGCCCUUAUGGGUAGGGCUUCACACGUCAUACAAUGGUCGGUACAGAGGGUCGCCAACCCGCGAGGGGGAGCCAAUCCCACAAAGCCGAUCGUAGUCCGGAUUGGAGUCUGCAACUCGACUCCAUGAAGUCGGAAUCGCUAGUAAUCGUGGAUCAGCAUGUCACGGUGAAUACGUUCCCGGGUCUU